rnacentral:rRNA from 1 species
CCAGACUCCUACGGGAGGCGGCAGUGGGGAAUAUUGCACAAUGGGGGAAACCCUGAUGCAGCGACGCCGCGUGGGUGACGAAGUAUUUCGGUAUGUAAAGCCCUAUCAGCAGGGAAGAAGAUGACAGUACCUGACUAAGAAGCCCCGGCUAACUACGUGCCAGCAGCCGCGGUAAUACGUAGGGGGCAAGCGUUAUCCGGAUUUACUGGGUGUAAAGGGAGCGUAGGUGGCAUGGCAAGCCAGAAGUGAAAACCCGGGGCUUAACCCCGCGGAUUGCUUUUGGAACUGUCAGGCUGGAGUGCAGGAGGGGCAGGCGGAAUUCCUGGUGUAGCGGUGAAAUGCGUAGAUAUCAGGAGGAACACUGGCGGCGAAGGCGGCCUGCUGGACCGCGACUGACGUUGAGGCUCGAAAGCGUGGGGAGCGAACAGGAUUAGAUACCCUAGUAU